CUGAACUUAAGGUGCGAAGGCUGAAGCCUUAAACACUGAAAGGAGGGCGACAUUGAUGAGGCGAGAGCUUUUGGGCUUGGGCAUGCGCCUUUGCACAGGCACAAGGCACAGAAAAGGCACGCCUUUUUUAAUUUUCUUCCCUGCAGUAUCAGCUAGGAUUUCCUUUAAUGAUUAUAUGAUAGAGUAAGGAACAGUUCCAAUAUCUGUAAAUUAGAUGGCUGAAACAGAACAGAAAAAAAAAGAAAAGAAAAGAAGAUAAAGAGAGUGUAAAGAAGAAGAGAGAAAUUGUAUUAGAUCAAUAGGACUGAAUCAAUAAUAGUGGAUUGUCAAUACAAUAAUCUCAGGAGUCUAAAAUGGAGAAAAGAAAUACAAGAGCUAACAGAAAUCUUGAUUCCAAAGAAACCAAGCCAAGAGCUACAGCUCUCCAACAGAAUAAUCUGUCCAAAAACUAUUUGCCCAAAAAAUGCUCAGCCCUCUCCUCACUUGCCUUCUUGUACUGGUGUGAUACCCUCAUCAUAACUGAUUGUGACAGGUGUUACAUUCUCAUUCCUUGAAUUAUUCCCCUGUUUUCUUGGAUCACUCACCAAAUUAGCAGCAGCCUUUGGCCUUCUUGAGUAAACCUUAAAGGGCCUGGGCUCAUUUCUAUCAAUACUUCCCCCUGAAUUAACAGCCUUGUCCUCAAGGUUGUAGUAUGGAAAUUGCCCAAUAAAGUCAGAUGCGUCCAUCCAAGUGGAUUCUUCGACCGGACGGCCUGUCCACUGAACAAGGAAUUGCUUGACGUUGGUAUCAUCUUUCUUGACGGAGCGAGUCUGUAAUAUGGCAACAGGUUCUACUAUAGGCUCUCCAACAUCUUGCAGCUGAUUGGUAUCAUCUUUCUUGACGGAGCGAGUCUGUAAUAUGGCAAUAGGUUCUACUAUAGGCUCUCCAACAUCUUGCAGCUGUUCGGGCAGUUCGGUGACCAACCUGUGCUCCCCCACGACCUUUUUCAACUGAGAUACAUGGAAGACUGGGUGUAUUCGAGAGGAAGAGGGCAGGAGCAGCUUGUACGCUACGGCACCCACUUUAGCAACAACCUCGAAGGGGCCGUAAUAGCGUGCUGCAAGUUUAGCAUUAAACCGUGCGGUUACUGACUGUUGCCUGUAGGGUCUGAUUUUGAGGAAUACUUUGUCACCCACCUGAAAUUGCACAUCGCGCCUAUGACGGUUGGAGUACUUAGUCAUCAAGUGCUGAGCCUUGGUAAGGUUGAAUUUCAACUGGCGGAUGAUUUCGUCCCGGUCCUGAAGUUGAAUUGACACUUCCUCUACCUUUAUUUCCCCUGGCAGGUGUUGAUGAAUGGUGGGGGGUGGACGGCCAUAGACUAUCUCGAAAGGUGUCUUCUUUACUGAACCUUGGAAGCUUGUAUUGUACCAAUAUUCUGCCCAUCCCAACCAUUUUGCCCAGCUUUGUGGCUGCUCGGAGCAGAAGCAGCGGAGGUAAGACUCAACACAUCGGUUUAGAACCUCAGUUUGCCCGUCCGUCUGUGGGUGGUAGGCUGAUGAGAACUUGAGUUGGGUGCCUUGGAGCUUGAAUAAUUCUUUCCAGAAGUUGCUUAAGAAGAGUGGGUCACGAUCACUAACCAUAGUUUUAGGAAAUCCAUGAAGCCGAACAAUUUCUGAAGUGAACAAUUCAGCCACUCGCUUAGCAGUGAAAGGAUGCUUCAAUUUCAAAAAGUGACCAUACUUGGAUAAUCUGUCCACAACCACUAAAAUACAAUCAGCCCCAUGAGAUCGUGGUAAGCCAGUGAUAAAAUCUAGGGCGAUUUCCUCCCAAAUCAUAUUAGGAAUGGGUAGUGGCUGUAGCAGCCCAGCAGGGGAUUGAGCCUCGUAUUUCUGUUGCUGACAAACCAAACAAGCAGCCACAAAUUUCUGGAUUUGUCCCAUCAUCCCUGUCUAAUAAAAGCUUGAGGCAAUGCGACGGUAGGUGCGAUAUGCACCGGAAUGCCCACCCGUGGGUGUAGAGUGACAUUCUGAGAUUAUCUGCUCUAACCACUUAGAAGUAGCAGGAAAAACGAGCCUUCCCUUGAAAUAGAGUCUACCAUGGAUGAGACAAUAAUGAGGGUGCUUCUUAGGAUCUUUCCGCAAGUCAGAGGUUAACUGUUGCAGAACCCCAUCGGCCUGAAUUUCUUGGUUGAUUUCUUUCCAAUCUGCCCAUUGAGAGUAUGACAGUGCUUGGAAUUGAGGGCUGUCAGCCUGUCGGGAUAGUGCGUCGGCAACUUUGUUGGAGAUUCCGGGCUUAUAUUCAAUCUGAAAAUUGUAACCCAUUAGUUUGGAAAUCCAAUACUGUUGUGCGGGGGUGGUUACCUGUUGGGAGAGCAAGUGGCCUAGGCUCCGUUGAUCGGUACGAACUAAGAAAUUUCGGCCGAUCAAGUAUGGCCUCCAAUGACGGACAGCUAGGACUAAGGCCAUUAGUUCAUUAUCAUAGGCUGAUCUUCUUGAAGCGGGAUCAAAAGUGCCUUUACUGAAGUAGGCAACGGGUUUGCCUUGCUGCAUUAGGACAGCCCCUAUGCCAGUCCCAGACGCAUCACACUCAACAACAAAGGGCUUAGUGAAGUCGGGCAUAGCAAGUACAGGAGAUGUAGUGACUGCUUGCUUCAGUGUUUCAAAUGAAUCUUGUGCCAGUGAGUUCCAGGAGAACUUUUGUUGAGACUCUUUCUUCAAAAGUAAAGUGAGUGGCCGAGCCAAUUGACCGUAAUUGCGGAUGAACUUCCUAUAGUAUCCUGUGAGUCCCAAGAAUCCCCUGACAACUUUUACAGACGUCGGGGUUGGCCAUCGGAGAAUACUAGUAACCUUUGCUGGAUCCAUGGAAACCCCCUCGCUUGAGAUUAUGUGCCCCAAGUACUCCAUUGAUGACUUGGCCAAGGAACACUUCUUUGGGUUAACAUGUAGUUGAUGCUGUUCUAGAAGGGUAAGAACCAUGGAUAAGUGUUGAAGAUGAGAUUCCCAGUCCUUACUGUAAAUCAGUAUGUCGUCAAAAAAUACUAACACAAAAUGGCGAAGGUGAGGGCGGAAUAUGUCGUUCAUAACAGCUUGGAACGUGGCAGGAGCUUUCAUAAGCCCAAAGGGCAUAACCAAGAACUCGUAGCCUUCAGUGUUUCAAAUGAAUCUUGUGCCAGUGAGGUCCAGGAGAACUUUUGUUGAGACUCUUUCCUCAAAAGUAAAGUGAGUGGCCGAGCCAAUUGACCGGAAUUGCGGAUGAACUUCCUAUAGUAUCCUGUGAGUCCCAAGAAUCCCCUGACGACUUUUACAUACGUCGGGGUUGGCCGUCGGAGAAUACUAGUAACCGUUGCUGGAUCCAUGGAAACCCCCUCGCUUGAGAUUAUGUGCCCCUAGUACUCCAUUGAUGACUUGGCCGAGGAACACUUCUUUGGGUUAACAUGUAGUUGAUGCUGUUCUAGAAGGGUAAGAACCAUGGAUAAGUGUUGAAGAUGAGAUUCCCAGUCCUUACUGUAAAUCAGUAUGUCGUCAAAAAAUACUAACACAAAACGGCGAAGGUGAGGGCAGAAUAUGUCGUUCAUAACAGCUUGGAACGUGGCAGGAGCAUUCAUAAGCCCAAAGGGCAUAACCAAGAACUCGUAGUGUCCUGUGUGUGUUCGAAAAGCUGUCUUGUGAAUGUCAGGCGUCGAAACUCGGAUUUGAAAGAACCCCGAUUUCAAAUCUAGCUUGGUGAAAAAACAGGCGCCAUAAAGUUCAUCUAGCAACUCUUGAACCACUGGAAUUGGAUACUUGUUCGGGACAGUAGCUUUGUUCAAUUGGCGGUAAUCGACGCAAAAACGCCAACUACCAUCUUUCUUGCGCACUAGCAACACCGGGCUGGAGUAAGGACUGUGACUAGGUUGUAUAAUUCCAGCAGAUAACAUCUCAGAUACUAGCUUCUCAAUUUCGUCUUUCUACAAAUGGCCAUACCUAUAUGGUUUAACACAAAUCGGUUCCUGCCCUGUUUUGAGAAUAAUUUGAUGGUCAGCUGGCCGAUGAGGAGGAAGAGAUCGAAUCUCGUCGAAGACAAUCUGGUGUUUCUCUAGUAGCCUGUGCAAUGCCGAUUCUUGUGAAGACGAGAGCUCAUUGGUGUGUAGUGGGGAAAUUUCAGCAUCGACCCCCCAAAGCAAAACAGAGAAGUCUACGUCCAAUAGUUUGCGGAUGGACUUCAGGGAAGAAGGCGUUCUCAUAAGAGACGGGUCACCCACUAGAGAAACGGUCUGUCCGUCAUGAGUAAACUCCAUAGUCAUCUGAGCCCAAUUGCUCCGGAUAUCACCCAAAGUUUCCAGCCAUGCUAUUCCCAGAACGAAAUCAACCCCAUGUAAUGGAAAGAUGAAGAAGUUGCCCACAAUUUCAAAUGAACCAACCCGUACCUGAAGUUGA
rnacentral:lncRNA from 1 species